UCGGGAAUUUUGGGCAAUGGGCGAAAGCCUGACCCAGCAACGCCGCGUGAAGGAUGAAGUAUUUCGGUAUGUAAACUUCGUAAGAAUAGGAAGAAUAAAUGACGGUACUAUUUGUAAGGUCCGGCUAACUACGUGCCAGCAGCCGCGGUAAUACGUAGGGACCAAGCGUUGUUCGGAUUUACUGGGCGUAAAGGGCGCGUAGGCGGCGUGGUAAGUCAUCUGUGAAAUCUCCGAGCUUAACUCGGAACGGUCAGAUGAUACUGCUGUGCUAGAGUACAGAAAGGGCAAUCGGAAUUCUUGGUGUAGCGGUGAAAUGCGUAGAUAUCAAGAGGAACACCUGAGGUGAAGACGGGUUGCUGGGCUGAUACUGACGCUGAGGCGCGAAAGCUAGGGUAGCAAACGGGAUUAGAUACCCAUGUAGUCCCUGAGCGGGCUGGCAAGGCGCAU
rnacentral:rRNA from 1 species